rnacentral:lncRNA from 1 species
CCCGUGCAGCUGGUGGCGGUAAUGCACCAUUAACAUUGGAUGCCAACCGUCGUUAAACCCCAUCGAAGACGAAGAAGAAGAAGAAGAAGAAGAAGAAGUGGUGGCGGCGGCAAUACACCAGUAUGUGUAGUCUGCCAUAAAACUUUGAAGAAGAAGAAGCGCACGAGCACUUCUCAGGGUGUUUAAUUAUUUUCUUUUAAUGUUUUAUCAAGACAAGCAAGUUGAAAAUGACCUUUGCCUUUCCUCUAUGAAGGAAUGUUUUUAUAGAUGAAGAUCUAGACUAAAACGUUGAAUAGCUAACUGAAUGGAAACUUAAUAGUUGAAUGAAUGAGACUGGCGUCUUGAAAAGAUAGAACAUGUACCUGUUGCACUUCUCUAUUGCCAUCAUUCUUGGGUUUGUGUGGUAUUUAUUUGACCGCGGACAAGUAGCGGCUCAAAUUGUUUUAUGUUUACUAUUUUGGCAAUCAACCCCAAAUGUUUUAAUAAAGACCAGACGGGAAAGCGGCACUCAGACAGACGAUGUGGUUGAAGAAGAUUUAUUCCAGGAAACCACUGACCAUUUAGGUUGUGAUGUGACUGAUACAACAAGCACUAAAGCUGAAACAUCACAGGAGAGACAGUUUCCCCAUGUGAAGAGGUCUCUUCAGCAAGUGUUUGAGUGUGCCUACGCCCAGCUAGUCCUCCCCUGGUACAGCGUCCCUGAGCCCUGUGACAGUCAGCUCCUGCACCAGGUGCUGUGGAGGGAGUUUGACCAAGUCAUCGAUCAAGUCAUCAGCAAAGGCAAAGACUUUGACGUCUGUGCUGCAAGUGUGGGCUGCAUUCGCAUCCUGACCCAGCACCUCCAUAAUGCCAAACAGUCUCAUAGAAAACCAUUGUUCCGCUCUAGAGGAGAGGAGGUUGAAGUUCUCCGAGUGUUCUCUGAAGUACUGGUGCGAAACCUUUUACCCCAGUCCCUAUGGGGACUGGCAGUCAGCCACUGUGCCUUAAAUGAGAUAGUUGCCUUAAAAGCACUGGACCUGCUGGUGCGGUGGCUCUCAGACCCUGACAACCUCAACCAGCUGGUGGUGAGUCAGCUGGAUGGAGCGACCCGUAAGAGCUCUGUGGAGGAGCUGUGUGAGUCCCACUCUGACAGGGCCUCUCCCGUCUCCCUGGAGAGCCAGGCCAGUGGAGCGAUGCAGGAAGAAACAGAGGAUGCUCAAACCAGUGACAGCAAGUCCAAAAAGAAAGCCAACAAAUUGAAGGAAGGCUGGUCUAAAUUCCUUGACAAGAUGAGAUUGAAGAAGGCUAAAAGGGAGAAGAUGAAGAAAAGGGAGCAGGCGCUGGUUGUCACGGCCAUGUCUAUCCAGGGUCGUCCAUCAAACGAAAAUGAAGGGAGUAGCCGGAACCAGCAGGACUCUGACAGCGAGGACAGUGAUCUGGAGAGCUACUGGAACAGUGUACAAGAGGAUAUGAUGGAAUUCAAGCUGUCGUAUGAGCUGUGGCGGGUUGGCCACUGGGCUGUCAGCGUCCCUUGUGUGGAGAGGGAAAACGAGGAACUGUGUUUUACAGUUCACCUGGAGGAGAGGGACAACCCUGAAAAUCUUCACUGGAACGUGAGGAAGACCCAAACAGACAUCAUCCACUUCCGCAACCUAUGGCAGGACUCUGCUACUUUACCCUCCCUAUACAUGUUAGAGGAGAGCACUGAGGUGAACAUCAAUGAGGAUUUCAAAGAAGCCAGGAAGUCCAUCAAGCUCUUCUUACAGGAGCUGGUGUCUGAUGUUCUAGUGGGCCACACUCAGCCAGUAUUUCAGUUUCUGUGUCCUCUGGAAAAGCUGCUGGUUGAAGAGGAUCAUGUGUGGGGCCUCUUCAGUGGCCUGGCCUACUUCCUGACUCCGGGCCAAGAGGAAGAUGAGAUGCUGCUUUCAUUCCUGUUGAGAGAGCUUCUGCCAGGUUUUACCAUGACUUGCGAAGCAACUGAAUGUGACGAUGUUGGUGUCGAUGUGCCUUCUUAAUAAAGUCAUUUAGGUUUUUCUUGCUUUUUUUGACAUAUGCCUGUUAUGCUUUCAUUUUUUAAAUUUAACUAGGCAAGUCGGUUAACAAAUUCUUAUUUACAAUGACAGCCUAGGAACAGUGGGUUAACUGCCUUGUUCAGGGGCAGAAGGACUGAUUUUUACCUUGUCAGCUCGGGGAUUCGAUCUAGCAACCUUUCGGUUACUGGCCCAACGCUCUAAACACUAGGCUACCUGCUGCCCCUUUAGAUUGUGUGGUAAGUAUUUUCUGUUUUCUGAAUAUGGAUUCAUCCUAAUCCAAUGGGAUUACUGAAUUUUAACUGUCUUUCUCUAUGUUGAUCAUUAUUAAAGUUCACAGACAAAAAAAAAAGAUAAUUAAAGUGGCAAUAUGUAACUUUUUGGGUGACCUGACUAAAUUUACAUAAAUGUGAGCUAUAGAUUUAUCAUUCUACUUGAAAGCGAAACGAUUUCGGCAUAGUGCAGUUUUAAGAGAUUAAUUUGGAUUUUGUAGCUAUGCUUAAAGAUACCCAAGAUAAUAGAUGCUGGUGGGAGGAGCUAUAACACAGACUGAUUGUAAUGGCUGGAAUGGAAUUCUUGGAACUGAGUCAAAUGUGGUUUCCAUAUGUUUGUUUUUGAUAACUUUCUAAUUAUUCCAUUCCAGCAAUUACAAUGAGCCUAUUCUCCUAUCAAAUUGUAUUAGUCACAUACACGUGUUUAGCAAAUGUUAUUGGGGAUGUAGCGAAAUACUUGUGUUUCUAGCCUCAACAGUGCAGUAAUAUCUAUAAUUAUAUCCUAUAGUUCUUUUUUGAAUGAGAAGGUAUAUGAAAAUACUUAUAUAUUCUUGAUUUGAUAGCACGUAUUGUUGAGCUCAGUGAUCAUGCUCAGCUCAAAGUAACACGUUUAGCGUUCCUCUGCUCUGCUGAAUGCUCUUGCCUGCAAUGCUAUCCUUCAGUUUCCCUCCAACACAUUGGGUGGCAGCAUUGUUGGUGUUUCAGGUUAAUUCAAAAUGGCUGCGCCCUGAGCAUUAGGUAAAGUGUGAAGGUGUCUGCUUUGGGCAUUGAAUAACGGAAAG